rnacentral:tRNA from 1 species
GGGGAUGUAACUCAAGUGGUAGAGCGCUCCCUUUGCAUGCGAGAGGUACGGGGUUCAGUACCCCGCAUCUCCA